UACAGAGGGUGCGAGCGUUGUCCGGAAUUAUUGGGCGUAAAGCGCGCGCAGGUGGUUUCUUAAGUCUGAUGUGAAAGCCCACGGCUCAACCGUGGAGGGUCAUUGGAAACUGGGGAACUUGAGUGCAGAAGAGGAAAGUGGAAUUCCAAGUGUAGCGGUGAAAUGCGUAGAGAUUUGGAGGAACACCAGUGGCGAAGGCGACUUUCUGGUCUGUAACUGACACUGAGGCGCGAAAGCGUGGGGAGCGAACAGG
rnacentral:rRNA from 1 species